rnacentral:rRNA from 1 species
UACGGGGGGAGCAAGCGUUGUUCGGAUUUACUGGGCGUAAAGGGCGCGUAGGCGGUCAGCACAAGUCAGUUGUGAAAUCUCCGGCUUAACCCGGAAAGGUCAGCCGAUACUGCGGGGCUAGAGUGCAGAAGGGGCAACUGGAAUUCUCGGUGUAGCGGUGAAAUGCGUAGAUAUCGAGAGGAACACCCUGCGGCGAAGGCGGGUUGCUGGGCUGACACUGACGCUGAGGUGCGAAAGCGUGGGGAGCAAACAGG